UAGGGAAUCUUCCGCAAUGGGCGAAAGCCUGACGGAGCAACGCCGCGUGAGUGAUGAAGGUCUUCGGAUCGUAAAACUCUGUUAUUAGGGAAGAACAAAUGUGUAAGUAACUAUGCACGUCUUGACGGUACCUAAUCAGAAAGCCACGGCUAACUACGUGCCAGCAGUCGCGGUAAUACGUAGGUGGCAAGCGUUAUCCGGAAUUAUUGGGCGUAAAGCGCGCGUAGGCGGUUUUUUAAGUCUGAUGUGAAAGCCCACGGCUCAACCGUGGAGGGUCAUUGGAAACUGGAAAACUUGAGUGCAGAAGAGGAAAGUGGAAUUCCAUGUGUAGCGGUGAAAUGCGCAGAGAUAUGGAGGAACACCAGUGGCGAAGGCGACUUUCUGGUCUGUAACUGACGCUGAUGUGCGAAAGCGUGGGGAUCAAACAGG
rnacentral:rRNA from 1 species